rnacentral:snRNA from 1 species
AUCGUUUCUCGGUCUUUUGGCUAAGAUCAAGCAUAGUAUCUGUUCUUAUCAGUUUAAAGGAGUGCUAGACAGGGAUUUCUUAGACUCUCCCUCAAGCGGGGCUUGGAGAAGAUCUCUCAGUUGAGAAUCCGAAAUGAUUUUCUCAUGAUUAGACUGAGGUUUCGCGUUUGGGGCAGGAAGGCCAUGUAAGAGAUGAGUUCUCUUUACAUCCUAUCAAUGGUAUAUAGUUAUUGCUUUUGAUGUUAACUUC